rnacentral:rRNA from 1 species
ACGCUGGCGGCGUGCCUAAUACAUGCAAGUAGAACGCUGAAGAGAGGAGCUUGCUCUUCUUGGAUGAGUUGCGAACGGGUGAGUAACGCGUAGGUAACCUGCCUUGUAGCGGGGGAUAACUAUUGGAAACGAUAGCUAAUACCGCAUAACAAUAGGUGACACAUGUCAUUUAUUUGAAAGGGGCAAUUGCUCCACUACAAGAUGGACCUGCGUUGUAUUAGCUAGUAGGUGAGGUAACGGCUCACCUAGGCGACGAUACAUAGCCGACCUGAGAGGGUGAUCGGCCACACUGGGACUGAGACACGGCCCAGACUCCUACGGGGGGCAGCAGUAGGGAAUCUUCGGCAAUGGGGGCAACCCUGACCGAGCAACGCCGCGUGAGUGAAGAAGGUUUUCGGAUCGUAAAGCUCUGUUGUAAGUCAAGAACGAGUGUGAGAGUGGAAAGUUCACACUGUGACGGUAGCUUACCAGAAAGGGACGGCUAACUACGUGCCAGCAGCCGCGGUAAUACGUAGGUCCCGAGCGUUGUCCGGAUUUAUUGGGCGUAAAGCGAGCGCAGGCGGUUUGAUAAGUCUGAAGUUAAAGGCUGUGGCUCAACCAUAGUUCGCUUUGGAAACUGUCAAACUUGAGUGCAGAAGGGGAGAGUGGAAUUCCAUGUGUAGCGGUGAAAUGCGUAGAUAUAUGGAGGAACACCGGUGGCGAAAGCGGCUCUCUGGUCUGUAACUGACGCUGAGGCUCGAAAGCGUGGGGAGCGAACAGGAUUAGAUACCCUGGUAGUCCACGCCGUAAACGAUGAGUGCUAGGUGUUGGAUCCUUUCCGGGAUUCAGUGCCGCAGCUAACGCAUUAAGCACUCCGCCUGGGGAGUACGACCGCAAGGUUGAAACUCAAAGGAAUUGACGGGGGCCCGCACAAGCGGUGGAGCAUGUGGUUUA